rnacentral:rRNA from 1 species
CAGUCGCCGCGGUAAUACGUAGGGUGCAAGCGUUAAUCGGAAUUACUGGGCGUAAAGCGUGCGCAGGCGGUUUUGUAGGUCUGUCGUGAAAUCCCCGGGCUCAACCUGGGAAUGGCGAUGGAGACUGCAAGGCUAGAAUCUGGCAGAGGGGGGUAGAAUUCCACGUGUAGCAGUGAAAUGCGUAGAUAUGUGGAGGUACACCGAUGGCGAAGGCAGCCCCCUGGGCCAAUACUGACGCUCAUGCACGAAAGCGUGGGGAGCAAACAGGAUUAGAUACCCCCGUAGUCCCUGUCUCUUAUAC